rnacentral:misc_RNA from 1 species
GAUGAAGAACGCAGCGAAAUGCGAUAAGUAAUGUGAAUUGCAGAAUUCAGUGAAUCAUCGAAUCUUUGAACGCACAUUGCGCCCGCUGGUAUUCCGGCGGGCAUGCCUGUUCGAGCGUCAUUUCAACCCUCAAGCUCUCCGGAGUUUGGUGUUGGGGCGCCUGGGGCUUUUCGACCUCAGGGCCCUCAAGUCCAUCGGCGGGACCGCCAGGACACUGAGCGCAGUAGUAUUAUUUCGCUCGGUAGGAUCUUCCACGGCGGGUCGAUCUGGCCGCUAAACCCCCCAAUUCUCUCCAAAGGUUGACCUCGGAUCAGGUAGGAAUACCCGCUGAACUUAAGCAUAUCAAUAAGCGGAGGA